UACGUAGGGAGCAAGCGUUGUUCGGAUUUACUGGGCGUAAAGGGCGCGUAGGCGGCGCGGUAAGUCACUUGUGAAAUCUCUGAGCUUAACUCAGAACGGCCAAGUGAUACUGCUGUGCUAGAGUGCGGAAGAGGCAACCGGAAUUCUUGGUGUAGCGGUGAAAUGCGUAGAUAUCAAGAGGAACACCUGAGGCGAAGGCGGGUUGCUGGGCCGACACUGACGCUGAUGCGCGAAAGCCAGGGGAGCAAACGGGAUUAGAUACCCCGGUAGUCCUGGCCCUAAACGAUGAAUACUUGGUGUCUGGAGUUUCAAUGCUCCGGGUGCCGUCGCUAACGUUUUAAGUAUUCCGCCUGGGGAGUACGCUCGCAAGAGUGAA
rnacentral:rRNA from 1 species